AUACCUCUAUUUUCUUGUUGCAGGUGUGAGUGAUUUGCAGCUGAUCCCUCUAUGUUCUGGUUGCAGGUGUGAGUGAUUUGCAGCUGAUCCCUCUAUGUUCUGGUUGCAGGUGUGAGUGAUGUGCAGCAGAUCCCUCUAUGUUCUGGUUGCAGGUGUGAGUGAUUAGAAGCUGAUCCCUCUGUGUUCUGGGUGCAGGUGUGAGUGAUGUAGAGCUGAUCCCUCUAUGUUAUGGUUGCAGGUGUGAGUGAUGUACAGCUGAUCCCUCUAUGUUAUGGUUGCAGGUGUGAGUGAUUAGAAGCUGAUCCCUCUGUGUUCUGGUUGCAGGUGUGAGUGAUGUGGAGCU